rnacentral:rRNA from 1 species
GACGAACGCUGGCGGCGUGCUUAACACAUGCAAGUCGAACGGAAAGGCCCUGCUUGUGCGGGGUGCUCGAGUGGCGAACGGGUGAGUAACACGUGAGUAACCUGCCCUUGACUUUGGGAUAACUUCAGGCAACUGGGGCUAAUACCGGAUAGGAGCUCCUGCUGCAUGGGGGGGGUCGGAAAGCUUGGGCUGUGGGGGAUGGACUCGCGGGUUAUCAGCUGGUUGGUGGGGUAGUGGCCUACCGAGGCUUCGACGGGUAGCCGGCCUGGGAGGGUGGCCAGCCACAAUGCGCCUGCGGUACGGACCAGACUCCUACGGGAGGCAGCGGUGGGGAAUCUUGCCCAAUGGGGGGAAGCCUGAUGCGGCAGCGCCGCGUGCGGGAUGACGGCCUUGGGGUUGUAAACCGCUUUCGCCUGUGACGAAGCGUGAGUGACGGUAAUGGGUAAAGAAGCACCGGCUAACUACGUG